GCCCAGACUCCUACGGGAGGCAGCAGUGGGGAAUAUUGGACGAUGGGGGGAAUCCUGAUCCAGCGACGCCGCGUGAGUGAAGAAGUAUUUCGGUAUGUAAAGCUCUAUCAGCAGGGAAGAAAGAAAUGACGGUACCUGACUAAGAAGCCCCGGCUAACUACGUGCCAGCAGCCGCGGUAAUACGUAGGGGGCUAGCGUUAUCCGGAAUUACUGGGCGUAAAGGGUGCGUAGGUGGUUUCUUAAGUCAGAGGUGAAAGGCUACGGCUCAACCGUAGUAAGCCUUUGAAACUGGGGAACUUGAGUGCAGGAGAGGAGAGUGGAAUUCCUAGUGUAGCGGUGAAAUGCGUAGAUAUUAGGAGGAACACCAGUGGCGAAGGCGGCCUGCUGGACGAUGACUGACGUUGAGGCUCGAAAGCGUGGGGAGCAAACAGGAUUAGAUACCCGAGUAGA
rnacentral:rRNA from 1 species